GUGGGGAAUAUUGGGCAAUGGGCGAAAGCCUGACCCAGCAACGCCGCGUGAAGGAAGAAGGCUUUCGGGUUGUAAACUUCUUUUGUCAGGGACGAAAAAAAUGACGGUACCUGACGAAUAAGCCACGGCUAACUACGUGCCAGCAGCCGCGGUAAUACGUAGGUGGCAAGCGUUAUCCGGAUUUACUGGGUGUAACGGGCGUGUAGGCGGGAAAGCAAGUCAGAUGUGAAAACUAUGGGCUCAACCCAUAGCCUGCAUUUGAAACUGUUUUUCUUGAGUACUGGAGAGGCAGAUGGAAUUCCUAGUGUAGCGGUGAAAUGCGUAGAUAUUAGGAGGAACACCAGUGGCGAAGGCGAUCUGCUGGACAGCAACUGACGCUGAGGCGCGAAAGCGUGGGGAGCAAACAGGAUUAGAAACCCCUGUAGUCC
rnacentral:rRNA from 1 species